AGCAUGUGGUUUAAUUCGAAGCAACGCGAAGAACCUUACCAGGUCUUGACAUCCCUGACAACCCGAGAGAUCGGGCGUUCCCCCUUCGGGGGACAGGGUGACAGGUGGUGCAUGGUUGUCGUCAGCUCGUGUCGUGAGAUGUUGGGUUAAGUCCCGCAACGAGCGCAACCCUCGACCUUAGUUGCCAGCUUUCAGUUGGGCACUCUAAGGUGACUGCCGGCUAAAAGUCGGAGGAAGGUGGGGAUGACGUCAAAUCAUCAUGCCCCUUAUGACCUGGGCUACACACGUGCUACAAUGGGCGGUACAAAGGGUCGCGAACCCGCGAGGGGGGAGCCAAUCCCAAAAAGCCGCUCUCAGUUCGGAUUGCAGGCUGCAACUCGCCUGCAUGAAGCCGGAAUCGCUAGUAAUCGCGGAUCAGCAUGCCGCGGUGAAUACGUUCCCGGGCCUU
rnacentral:rRNA from 1 species